rnacentral:tmRNA from 1 species
GGGGCCGUACUGGUUUCGACGGGGGUAGUGAGGCUGGAAUAGCGGGUCGUGGCGCCUGACCACGAUAAAACGGGUACUUUCUAAAAUUAACUGACAACACUGUUGUUCCUGUGGCUGCCUAAUUAGGCGCCCAUCCUCCCCGGAAGGUCCACGAGCCGGGCUAGGGUGUGAUUUGAGUGGAGACCGUGCGUAUGGUAAGCUUUGCCCAUACCAUGAAUCAUGAAGCUACCAAAUCCGACAGGGUGUUUGUUCCCGUUCGGACGAGGGAAUGUAAAUAACAAACUGCACCCGGAGAAGUUCUUUCCAAGUUGCUUUCGGACAGGGGUUCGAUUCCCCUCGGCUCCACCA